rnacentral:rRNA from 1 species
ACGGAAGGCAGCAGUGGGGAAUAUUGGACGAUGGGGGAAACCCUGAUCCAGCGACGCCGCGUGAGUGAAGAAGUAUUUCGGUAUGUAAAGCUCUAUCAGCAAGGAAGAGAAUGACGGUACUUGACUAAGAAGCCCCGGCUAACUACGUGCCAGCAGCCGCGGUAAUACGUAGGGGGCAAGCGUUAUCCGGAUUUACUGGGUGUAAAGGGAGCGUAGACGGCAUAGCAAGUCUGAAGUGAAAUGCAUGGGCUCAACCCAUGAACUGCUUUGGAAACUGUUAAGCUAGAGUGCAGGAGAGGUAAGUGGAAUUCCUAGUGUAGCGGUGAAAUGCGUAGGUAUUAGGAGGAACACCAGUGGCGAAGGCGGCUUACUGGACUGUAACUGACGUUGAGGCUCGAAAGCGUGGGGAGCAAACAGGAUUAGAUACCCUGGUA